CCUACGGGGGGCAGCAGUGGGGAAUAUUGCGCAAUGGGCGAAAGCCUGACGCAGCGACGCCGCGUGAGGGAUGAAGGUCUUCGGAUCGUAAACCUCUGUCAGCAGGGAAGAACGGUCACUGUGCUAACUAGCAGUGAAUUGACGGUACCUGCAAAGGAAGCACCGGCUAACUCCGUGCCAGCAGCCGCGGUAAUACGGAGGGGGCGAGCGUUAAUCGGAAUUACUGGGCGUAAAGCGCACGUAGGCGGUAUGGCAAGUCAAUGGUGAAAUCCCCGAGCUCAACGUGGGAACUGCUUUUGAUACUGGCAUACUGGAGUGUGUGAGAGGAUAGUAGAAUUCCUGGUGUAGGAGUGAAAUCCGUAGAUAUCUGGAGGAACACCAGUAGCGAAGGCGACUAUCUGGCACAUAACUGACGCUGAGGAGCGAAAGCGUGGGUAGCAAACAGGAUUAGAUACCCCAGUAGUC
rnacentral:rRNA from 1 species